GAUGAACGCUGACAGAAUGCUUAACACAUGCAAGUCAACUUGAACUUCGGUUUGGGUGGCGGACGGGUGAGUAACGCGUAAAGAACUUGCCUCACAGCUAGGGACAACAUUUGGAAACGAAUGCUAAUACCUGAUAUUAUGAUUUUAGGGCAUCCUAGAAUUAUGAAAGCUAUAUGCGCUGUGAGAGAGCUUUGCGUCCCAUUAGCUAGUUGGAGAGGUAACGGCUCACCAAGGCGAUGAUGGGUAGCCGGCCUGAGAGGGUGAACGGCCACAAGGGGACUGAGACACGGCCCUUACUCCUACGGGAGGCAGCAGUGGGGAAUAUUGGACAAUGGACCAAGAGUCUGAUCCAGCAAUUCUGUGUGCACGAUGAAGUUUUUCGGAAUGUAAAGUGCUCUCAGUUGGGAAGAAAAAAAUGACGGUACCAACAGAAGAAGUGACGGCUAAAUACGUG
rnacentral:rRNA from 1 species